AAAUUGUUCAUGAGAGAAUGAAAGUUUGUCUCAUAUAAAAUUAUUUUUUUGCUUGACUUUUCUUGCCAAGAAAGAGAAUUUAAAGAGUAAUUGUUCAUUUCGGUUUGUCAUAGCUUACGUUUUAAUUCCCACCAGUAAUAAUUGAGAAUGUGUGUUUAAUGGAGUAAAACGCUCUUUGGAGUUAAGGGAAAGCACACUCAAUUCUGCUGCACAAGUCGGGAAGUUAGCAUUCCCAUUUUAUUCAUCUAAAAUAUGACACAAUGUUGCCAAAUUGCAUCUGCAUAUUUUGCAUGGCAUUCUGAGAAAGUUGUUGCAAUACUCUUUCAGAGCUGUACUUGUAUUACAAAGUUAUUUUAGAAGAACUGAAAAUUUCAAAUCUUUGUAAUGGUUAUGAGAAUAUCAGAUUCUAAA